CCUACGGGCGGCAGCAGUGGGGAAUAUUGCACAAUGGGGGAAACCCUGAUGCAGCGACGCCGCGUGAGCGAAGAAGUAUUUCGGUAUGUAAAGCUCUAUCAGCAGGGAAGAAAAUGACGGUACCUGAGUAAGAAGCUCCGGCUAAAUACGUGCCAGCAGCCGCGGUAAUACGUAUGGAGCAAGCGUUAUCCGGAUUUACUGGGCGUAAAGGGAGCGUAGGCGGCCUGCCAAGUCUGAUGUGAAAUACCGGGGCUCAACCCCGGGGCUGCAUUGGAAACUGGCAGGCUGGAGUGCCGGAGAGGCAGGCGGAAUUUCUAGUGUAGGAGUGAAAUCCGUAGAUAUUAGAAGGAACACCAAUAGCGUAGGCAGGUUGCUGGGACGGUUCUGACACUAAGGCACGAAAGCGUAGGGAGCAAACGGGAUUAGAUACCCUGGUAGUC
rnacentral:rRNA from 1 species